GCCGAGCCUGGUAACGUGGGCUUGUAACCUAUGUAGGGGCAAUAAUGUGGUAGAAUGUUAGGUUGAUAUCUUGAAGGCUGGGCUUCAAAUGGCUAAUGCUUGGCCUGCCCUAUCCAAGCAUGGAGUUCAGUCAUGUGGCCCAAACGAAAGUAUGGGCUUCUUGACUCCUAGAGUGGGGUGGACUGCGUGAGGCUGGUUUCACAGAGCAACGAAGAACUCCCGCUCUAUGCAGUGGAAGGAUAACGGGCCGGUGCUAUUCAAGUCCAACAAACACCUGAUGGGCAACCUAAUUAAACCAUCACUUUU
rnacentral:SRP_RNA from 1 species